UACAGAGGGUGCGAGCGUUGUCCGGAAUCACUGGGCGUAAAGGGUGCGUAGGCGGGUCUUUAAGUCAGAGGUGAAAUCCUGGAGCUCAACUCCAGAACUGCCUUUGAUACUGAGGGUCUUGAGUAUGACAGAGGUGAGUGGAACUGCGAGUGUAAGAGGUGAAAUUCGUAGAUAAUUCGCAAGACACCAGUGGCGAAGGCGGCUCACUGGGUCAUUACUGACGCUGAGGCACGAAGCGUGGGGAGCAAACAGG
rnacentral:rRNA from 1 species